UUUAACAAAAACAUGUCUGUAUGAUUGUUAUAUAGAGUCUGGCCUGCCCACUGAUUUAUUAAAGGGCCGCGGUAUCUUGACCGUGCGAAGGUAGCAUAAUCAUUAGUCUUUUAAUUGAAGGCUUGUAUGAAUGGUUGGACAAAAAGUUAACUGUCUCAUUUAUAAAAAUUGAAUUUAACUUUUAAGUGAAAAGGCUUAAAUAUACUGAGGGGACGAUAAGACCCUAUAAAGCUUUACAAUAAAUUAAUUAAAUUAUAAAUUAUUAGUAUAACUUAAUUUAAUUAGUAUUUGUUUCGUUGGGGCGACGAGAAUAUAAU
rnacentral:rRNA from 1 species